rnacentral:rRNA from 1 species
GAUGAACGCUGGCGGCGUGCUUAACACAUGCAAGUCGAACGAUGAUCUCCAGCUUGCUGGGGGGAUUAGUGGCGAACGGGUGAGUAACACGUGAGUAACCUGCCCUUGACUCUGGGAUAAGCCUGGGAAACUGGGUCUAAUACUGGAUACGACCUUCCCACGCAUGUGGUGUUGGUGGAAAGCUUUUGUGGUUUUGGAUGGACUCGCGGCCUAUCAGCUUGUUGGUGGGGUAAUGGCCUACCAAGGCGACGACGGGUAGCCGGCCUGAGAGGGUGGACGGCCACACUGGGACUGAGACACGGCCCAGACUCCUACGGGAGGCAGCAGUGGGGAAUAUUGCACAAUGGGCGCAAGCCUGAUGCAGCGACGCCGCGUGAGGGAUGAAGGCCUUCGGGUUGUAA